rnacentral:lncRNA from 1 species
CAGUAUAUUGGUGUUGUGUUAGUUUUACAACAAUGUAAAAUUAACCAAGUGUAUCCAAUGUCCAUUUUUAACAUCAAAUUACCUGUUACCUCCACCAAAGUUUUGCAGAACAUUCAACGAAUCUCUAUGAAAGUAGCCCUCUCAGAUGCCAAAAGAAAAUUCUACAAAUCCUUAAAGAAUGAGGCCAAUGCAUGGGAAAAUUUACAACAAUUACAGGUGCAGGACCAAACUCUAAAAGACUUAGAUAAAGAACAGGAGGGUCUUGGAAAACAUUUAAGAAUGAAAUAUAUUAAAAAACUCAAGUGGGUUCUCUAAAAUCAACGCCCAAGAGGCCCUAAGGCGCAUCUACCACUAGAUAAUGUGGUUACACUUCUAAGUGGAAUAACCUUGCUGCAUUAUGCAACUGAACUCUUCCAAAAAGGCCAGAUGUGCGCGGUUGAGCAAACCCUAGACGUAAGAACACAAAUACAUACCGUGGAAGAUCUGUUACUUGAUCCGCAGCUUCAACCCUUAGAAAAAGAGAAAUUAAGAUGGGUCUAUGUAAAAGAAACAACCCAAGACAGAAAAAAUAUGAAGAACAAAUCAUAUAAAGGCACCCUACAGCUAGUCAGAAGUACUAAACGAUGGAUGGAAGCCAACCGUAUAAUUGCGACCAGGGAAGAUAAAACGAAGAAAAUGGUUUUAAUAAAAGAAGAAGAGUAUAAAGCCUAUAUCUCCGAAUACAUUGAACAGUCAGCUCCAAUGCUGCUACAAAACGACCCCACACAACAGCUUAGCAUAGAGCUCAAUAACUUGUGUAAAAAGCAUACCUUCCCAAAAAUCUGGGCACAUCACCC